UACGUAGGGUGCAAGCGUUGUCCCGAAUUAUUGGGCGUAAAGAGCUCGUAGGCGGUUUGUUGCGUCGGCUGUGAAAUCCCGAGGCUCAACCUCGGGUCUGCAGUCGAUACGAGCAAACUAGAGUGUUGCAGGGGAGACUGGAAUUCCUGGUGUAGCGGUGAAAUGCGUAGAUAUCGAGAGGAACACCUGCGGCGAAGGCGGGUUGCUGGGCUGACACUGACGCUGAUGCGCGAAAGCCAGGGGAGCGAACGGG
rnacentral:rRNA from 1 species